rnacentral:rRNA from 1 species
UACGUAGGGGGCAAGCGUUGUCCGGAUUUAUUGGGCGUAAAGAGCGUGUAGGCGGCCAGACAGGUCAGCUGUGAAAACUCGAGGCUCAACCUCGAGACGUCGGUUGAAACCGUCUGGCUAGAGUCCGGAAGAGGAGAGUGGAACUCCCGGUGUAGCGGUGAAAUGCGCAGAUAUCGGGAAGAACACCCGUGGCGAAGGCGGCUCUCUGGGACGGUACUGACGCUGAGACGCGAAAGCGUGGGGAGCAAACAGG